rnacentral:rRNA from 1 species
ACAAGUUGACAAGAGCAUCGGGUGGAUGCCUUGGCGUCGGAAGGCGAUGAAAGACGUGGUAAGCUGCGAAAAGCCUCGGGGAGAAGCUAAACAUUCUAUGAUCCGGGGAUUUCUGAAUGGGGAAACCCGGCGGAGGUCAUGCUCCGUCGCGGGCACUUGAAUACAUAAAGUGUCCAGCGCCAACUCAGGGAAGUGAAACAUCUCAGUACCUGAAGGAAAAGAAAUCAAACGAGACUCCCAAAGUAGCGGCGAGCGAAAUGGGAUGAGCCCAAACCGGCUGGAUUCGUUCAGCCGGGGUUGUAGGGCCGGCAUAUGUGAUUCAUGAGUAGGCAGGGGAAAUGAGCUGGAAAGCUCUGCCAGAGCGGGUGACAGCCCCGUACCUGAAACCGAAAGCGACACAGCCGGUACCUGAGUACCGCGAGACACGUGGAACCUCGUGGGAAUCCGGGAGGACCAUCUUCCAAGGCUAAGUACUAACCGACGACCGAUAGUGUACCAGUACCGUGAGGGAAAGGUGAAAAGAACCUCUGUUAGAGGAGUGAAAUAGAAUCUGAAACCUGGUGCUUACAAGCUGUGAGAGCGGACUUGUUCCGUGAUCACGUGCCUUUUGCAUAAUGAGUCAGCGAGUUAAUCUGUUGUGCAAGGUUAAGCGAGAGCGGAGCCGAAGCGAAAGCGAGUCUGAAUAGGGCGCGUAGUACAGCGGAUUAGACCCGAAACCGGGUGAUCUAUCCAUGAGCAGGUUGAAGCAAGGGUAAAACCUUGUGGAGGACCGAACCAAUACCGGCUGAAAACGGUUUGGAUGACUUGUGGAUAGGGGUGAAAGGCCAAUCAAACCCGGUGAUAGCUGGUUCUCCCCGAAAUAUAUUGAGGUAUAGCCUCAUGGAUUGUCUACCGGAGGUAAAGCACUGACAGGGCUAGGGGUCCUACCAGAUUACCAAACCCUAUCAAACUCAGAAUGCCGGUCAGAUGUACCAUGGGAGUCAGACGGCGGGUGCUAAGGUCCGUCGUCGAGAGGGUAAGAGCCCAGAUCAACAGCUAAGGUCUCCAAAUCUAUGCUCAGUGGUUAAGGUGGUGACGUUGUAGAGACACCCAGGACGUUGGCUUAGAAGCAGCCAUCGUUUAAAGAAAGCGUAAUAGCUCACUGGUCUAAUGACGUUGCGCCGAAAAUGUAACGGGGCUAAAACGCGACACCGAAGCAGCGGGAUGCGUAAGCAUCGGUAGAGGAGCAUUGUGUGAGGAUAGAAGCCAGAGCGGGAGCACUGGUGGACUUCACAGAAGAGAGAAUGCCGGUAUGAGUAGCGAGACCCAUGCGAGAAACAUGGGCGUCGAAGGCCCAAGGUUUCCUGGGGAAGGUUCAUCCACCCAGGGUAAGUCGGGACCUAAGCCGAGGACUGAGGUCGUAGGCGAUGGACAGCAGGUAGAGAUUCCUGCACCACUUACACUUGUUUGACGAAGCAGUGACACAGAAGGAUAGGACGAGCGCGGUGAUGGUCAACCGCGUAGGCGGCACGAGGCUGGGGAGCAGUAAAGUACACUUCCCGUUAAGGCUGAGUGCUGACAGGACCGAAAAAGAGUAGGGAAGCGUCUGAGUUCACGCUGGCGAGAAAAGCUGCUAAGGAGAGUGUGAGUGCCCGUACCGGAAACCGACGCAGGUGGGCGAGGAGAGAAUCCUGAGACGGACGGGAGAACUCUUGUUAAGGAACUCGGCAAAAUGACCCCGUAACUUCGGGAGAAGGGGUGCCUCGAAAGAGGCCGCAGAGAAUAGUCACAAGCGACUGUUUAGCAAAAACACAGGUAUCUGCGAAAGCGAGAGCUGACGUAUAGGUGCUGACGCCUGCCCGGUGCUGGAAGGUUAAGGGGAAGUGUUAGGGGAAACCCGAAGCAGAGAACCGAAGCCCCAGUAAACGGCGGCCGUAACUAUAACGGUCCUAAGGUAGCGAAAUUCCUUGUCGGGUAAGUUCCGACCCGCACGAAUGGCGUAACGACUUGUGAGCUGUCUCAACAGGAGGCCCGGUGAAAUUGAAGUAUGUGUGAAGAUGCACAUUACCCGCGACUGGACGGAAAGACCCCGUAGAGCUUUACUGUAACCUGACAUUGGAUCUUGAUAACGGAUGCACAGGAUAGGUGGGACGCUGGGAGGUAUGGACUUUGGUCUGUACGGAGCGGACGUUGGGAUACCACUCUUCUGUUAUUGAGAUUCUAACCUCAAGCCGUAAGCCGGAUGAGAGACAGUGUCAGGCGGACAGUUUGACUGGGGCGGUCGCCUCCGAAAGAGUAACGGAGGCGCCCAAAGGUACCCUCAGAAUGGAUGGAAACCAUUCGAAGAGAGCAAAGUCAGAAGGGUGCUUGACUGCGAGACCAACAAGUCGAGCAGGUACGAAAGUAGGGCUUAGUGAUCCGGCGGUAAGAGAGUGGAAUUGCCGUCGCUCAACGGAUAAAAGCUACCUCGGGGAUAACAGGCUGAUCUCCCCCAAGAGUUCACAUCGACGGGGAGGUUUGGCACCUCGAUGUCGGCUCGUCGCAUCCUGGGGCUGAAGCAGGUCCCAAGGGUUUGGCUGUUCGCCAAUUAAAGCGGCACGCGAGCUGGGUUCAGAACGUCGUGAGACAGUUCGGUCCCUAUCCAUCGUGGGCGAAGGACACAUGAGAGGAGCUGCUCCUAGUACGAGAGGACCGGAGUGGACGCAUCACUGGUGCAACUGUUGUCGUGCCAACGGCACAGCAGGGAAGCGAAAUGCGGAUGGGAUAAACGCUGAAGGCAUCUAAGCGUGAAGCCCACCUCAAGAAUAAGUGUCCCAUUCGAAAGAAGUAAGACCCCUGGAAGACUACCAGGUGAUAGGUCAUCGGUGAAAGAGCGGUAACGUUUGGAGCUUGAUGAUACUAAUCGGUCGAGGACUUGAUCU